rnacentral:rRNA from 1 species
UACAGAGGUCCCAAGCGUUGUUCGGCUUCACUGGACGUAAAGGGUGCGUAGGUGGUCGGGUAAGUCUGAGGUGAAAUCUCCGAGCUUAACUCGGAAACUGCCUUGGAUACUAUUCGGCUCGAGGGUUGGAGGGGGGACUGGAAUUCUCGGUGUAGCAGUGAAAUGCGUAGAUAUCGAGAGGAACACCAGUGGCGAAGGCGAGUCCCUGGACAACUCCUGACGCUGAGGCACGAAAGCGUGGGGAGCAAACAGG